rnacentral:rRNA from 1 species
AGUGAACGCUGGCGGUAGGCCUAACACAUGCAAGUCGAACGGCAGCACAGUAAGAGCUUGCUCUUACGGGUGGCGAGUGGCGGACGGGUGAGGAAUACAUCGGAAUCUACUUUUUCGUGGGGGAUAACGUAGGGAAACUUACGCUAAUACCGCAUACGACCUACGGGUGAAAGCAGGGGAUCUUCGGGCCUUGCGCGAUUGAAUGAGCCGAUGUCGGAUUAGCUAGUUGGCGGGGUAAAGGCCCACCAAGGCGACGAUCCGUAGCUGGUCUGAGAGGAUGAUCAGCCACACUGGAACUGAGACACGGUCCAGACUCCUACGGGGGGCAGCAGUGGGGAAUAUUGGACAAUGGGCGCAAGCCUGAUCCAGCCAUACCGCGUGGGUGAAGAAGGCCUUCGGGUUGUAAAGCCCUUUUGUUGGGAAAGAAAAGCAGCAGGUUAAUACCCCGCUGUUCUGACGGUACCCAAAGAAUAAGCACCGGCUAACUUCGUG